AGCAGUAGCCGCGGGAAAACGGAGGGGGCUAGCGUUGUUCGGAAUUACUGGGCGUAAAGCGCACGUAGGCGGCUUGGUAAGUUAGAGGUGAAAGCCCGGAGCUCAACUCCGGAAUUGCCUUUAAGACUGCCGAGCUAGUAGGUGAGAGAGGUAAGUGGAAUUCCGAGUGUAGAGGUGAAAUUCGUAGAUAUUCGGAAGAACACCAGUGGCGAAGGCGGCUUACUGGCUCAUUCUAGACGCUGAGGUGCGAAAGCGUGGGGAGCAAACAGGAUUAGAUACCCCUGUAGUCCCUGUCUCUUAUAC
rnacentral:rRNA from 1 species